UACGGGGGGGGCAAGCGUUGUUCGGAAUCACUGGGCGUAAAGGGCGCGUAGGCGGCUGAUUUAGUCGAGGGUGAAAGCCCGUGGCUCAACCACGGAAUGGCCUUCGAUACUGGUUGGCUUGAGACCGGAAGAGGACAGCGGAACUGCGAGUGUAGAGGUGAAAUUCGUAGAUAUUCGCAAGAACACCAGUGGCGAAGGCGGCUGUCUGGUCCGGUUCUGACGCUGAGGCGCGAAAGCGUGGGGAGCAAACAGG
rnacentral:rRNA from 1 species